rnacentral:rRNA from 1 species
AUGGGCGGAGCGGAGGACGGGGCGCACGCGGCGGGGGGCCCCGCGUCGAACGGGCACGCCAAUGGGGCCGUGGAGGAGAAGGUGGACGAGCUGCGGCGGGUGAUGGGAAAGGCCGACGGGGACCCGCUCCGGAUCGUCGGCGUCGGGGCCGGGGCCUGGGGCAGCGUCUUCUGCGCGCUCCUGCAGGACGCCUACGGCCACCUCCGCGACAAGGUGCAGCUCCGCAUCUGGCGCCGCCCCGGCCGCGCCGUCGACCGCGCCACGGCCGAGCACCUCUUCAACGUCAUCAACGCGCGCGAGGACGUCCUGCGCCGCCUGAUCCGCCGAUGCGCCUACCUCAAGUACGUCGAGGGCCGCCUCGGGGACCGCACGCUCUACGCCGACGAGAUACUCAGGGACGGCUUCUGCCUCAACAUGAUCGACACCCCGCUCUGCCCGCUCAAGGUCGUCACCAACCUGCAGGAGGCCGUCUGGGACGCAGACAUUGUCAUCAACGGCCUGCCGUCCACGGAGACGAGGGUUGUGUUUGGGGAGAUUGGGAGGUACUGGAAGGAGAGGGUUAAUGCCCCAGUCAUCAUCUCGCUCACCAAAGGGAUAGAAGCAUCCCUGGAUCCGGUGCCGCGGAUCAUAACUCCGACACAGAUGAUUAGCAAAGCAACUAAGGUUCCAUUGGAUAAUAUUCUAUAUCUUGGUGGCCCUAACAUCGCGUCUGAAAUAUAUAAUAAAGAAUAUGCGAAUGCUCGUAUUUGUGGAACUGACAAAUGGAGGAAACCUCUUGCUAAAUUUUUGAGGCAGCCUCAUUUUAUUGUCUGGGAUAAUAGUGAUCUCAUCACUCAUGAAGUCAUGGGAGGUUUGAAAAAUGUGUACGCUAUUGGUGCUGGUAUGGUGGCAGCACUAACCAAUGAGAGUGCUACCAGCAAGUCUGUUUACUUUGCACUUUGCACAUCUGAAAUGAUCUACAUCACCCACCUUCUGGAAGAAGAACCCGAAAAACUUGCUGGACCGUUAUUAGCUGACACUUAUGUCACGUUGUUGAAAGGUCGUAAUGCAUGGUAUGGGCAUAAGUUAGCUAAAGGGGAACUGACUCUGGAAAUGGGUGAUAGCAUAAAAGGCAAAGGGACAAUCCAGGGUGUCUCUGCGGUCGAUGCAUUUUAUAAACUUCUCAGUCAGGAUAGUUUGAGUGUAAUGCAUCCAGAAGCCAACAAAUCUGUUGCGCCAGUUGAGAUGUGCCCCAUCUUGAAAACACUUCAUAAAAUUUUGAUCAAGAGGGAACUUCCUACUGAGUCGAUUCUUCAGGCUAUAAGAGAUGAGUCGAUGUGUGACCCGCGUGAAAGAAUUGAGAUGGCACGGGGGCAGUCACUUUACCGACCAUCUAUUCUUGGUCAACCAAAUGGAGAUGUGAAAGCUUAG